CUGCUGGCCUGUGUGGGUAGAGGCCAGGGAGGCGGUUCAACAUCUCGCAGCACAGGAGCCCUUUCCCCCAUGCAGCACAGAAUGCUCGGGCCCGGGACGUCAACUGGGUCUUCAAGGCAGAGUCUGGUUCUGUGUGACUCCUGGGGGCUGAGCUGUUGCAUUUGGCCUCAAAUUAGGGACCGGCUCAGAGAUGAAACUUCUCGGGGGCGUCAAGCCGGGGAAGAGAGUCUGGGCCAGGUGCUCGUUAUAGAACACGUGAAAUUCUGAGAUUCAAUUUCAAAGCGGCUCCAAAGCGGGACAGUUGUGUUUAAUUCGAAAGUGAUCGGGCUUCCCCGGAGGUCUCCUGUUCUGCAAGACGGGACGGCCCCAGAUCUGUGACCAGCGCUCCGGGUCUGCCAGGGCCUGGUUGACACCUGGGCCUGAUCCACAGCCCUGCAUGCACGUGUGUGAGUGUUUCCUUCGCCCCGGGGACCUCCAGGAUCCCUGCUGAGACCUCCCUGGCCUUGCAGUCGGUUUAUGGCUGACAGCUGACAGCGAUAAGAGCAUCUCUUCCCCUCACGGAAUGAGGAUCCUGAGCCCAGAGAGGGGAUCAGACUUGCCCAAGGUCAUGUAGCAAGAGGGGGACCAGUGGGGGACGUCCAGUCACAGUCUUGUAAGAGCAGGGAAGAGGUCCACCUUUGCACCACCUUUGCACCACAGCAUCCUUGUACGCGCAUUGCUUGUUCUGCCCUCAUGCUGCUCACUGACAUGGGGAAGGACGUGGCCACCUCCGGCAUCCCACAGGGAGGAAGGACAGAGCUGGGAUUAGAACCUGGGCUGGGGGCAGCAAGGUGGGGGAGCUCUUACCCUUGAUUGGAAGGGAGGCUGAGAUGGGGUCCAAACACCUGCUGCAUCUCCAGGAUCCAGAGCCAGUGAGGACCUGGUUGGGAGCAGCAGGGGAGACUGGCAGAGGCCGGGAGGUGGAUGGAGGUUGGCUGUGGUCUCGUGUGCUCUCCUGACCCCUCUGUUACUACAAGGUGGGGGGAACCCCAAGGUCAGGGGCCAUGGGGCACCUUCUGCUCCAGAGCCCCUAGAGAUCAGAGGCCUGGGAGGGCCACAGCUGAGGCUGUCAGGCCUUGGACCCUCGGAAGCCCUGGACUCCCAGAGGCCCCCAGAGGCCCUCGCUGGCCCUGGCCUUCCUCUUGUCUCCUCCUCCUCCUCGCUGCACACCGCCGGCCGGGUGGGAGGCACAUGGUGAGCGAACUUCUGAACAGGAAGUCAGGGUCCAGGUCGUCCCAAAUCCCUUUUCAUGUGGUUUCUUUAAUCCCCCGGGCCGGGUUUCAGAAGCGUUUUACAGUUUCAGUUUUACAAAGCUACGCUCCCUUUAAUGUUGGCGUUUUUCAGGAGGUGGGGGGAGAGCAGCUUCAGUCAAAACAUGUGUGUCUUACAUCAGGCAGCUGUGGACGGCGUGGCCUGGGGAGGGGAGGCGGCAAUGUGGCCUCCAGGCUCAGAGGCCCCGCUGGAUGCAGACGGCCCGGUCGGCCGGGUGGGCCCUGGAGCCCCACGGGCCUCUCUCCCUCUUCCCGCCCUUGGCCUGCUUCCUUCUCUCCUGUCCAAGCCUCCAUGGGGUUUGCCCCAGCCAGUGGGGCCAGGGCACCCUGCUUCCAGACCCCCAGCCGCCCGGUGUCCCCCUUAGCGGAUGCUGGUCUUUGUCCCACCUCGUACGUCCACGCGUGGGCAGCUGCUACGCCGCAUCCUCCAACCAUGAGCGUUUUUACUUGUUUCAAUGUCAUCCCUUAAGUCAACGCACCUUUUUCACGUACUGAGACACUGCCUAAGCAAAAAUGCCCAUGACCUUGUGAGUUGGAUGGGCUAGUUACCCCUCUCUGGUCUAACACAAAAAAAAACAAAUCUAUAACAACUAAAAGAAGAAGAAAAGGCUAUGCACCAGCUAAAAUCACCCUGCCACCCUGUAUGCUUUGGGAAAUCCCUGCAAGAGAAGAUGAAGGUGAGGUGACCUACCUGGAGGGUGCCAGGGCUUCUGGGACUCCGUCUCCCAGGCCAGCAUUCCUCCUGCUGCAUCAUAUCUGUCUACAGGGCAGGCUUCUCAGCUGUGGAGCUCCAGGCUUUGGAGGAAUUACCUGGGCUGCUCUGAACUCACUGAGGAGGGGACUGAGUUCCUCGGCAGUGUGGUUGAGUGAAAAGAACACAAAUUUUGGAACUGGAGUUUCCGUCGUGGCUCAGUGGUAAUGAACCCAACUAGUAUCCAUGAGG